GGUCUCUGCAGCUGGUCGGCCACCAUAUUGGGGUUGCUCGCCGCCCGUCAGGCCUCGGCGCCACUUCUCCUUGCGGCCGCCCGACGAGGCGACUGCCCGGGGCAGGAUCCCGCUCCGAUUGGCCAGCCUUCCACCCCGGAUUAGGCGGAGGAGAUCGCGAACGACGGGGCUGAAUUCAUCUGGAGGCCUUAGCAGCAAGUGAGAUCAUGGAGGAAAAUGGUGAAGAUGUGGCUUCCCUGGCGGCCUACAUUUCAACAGAUGGCAGCUACACAGCGCCAAAUCUGCGCCCUCGGCCCCUGACCGCUGCAGAGAGGAUGCGUAAUCUUCGUUGCCGGCAAAGAAAGAGAAGGGGAGAUACUUUGAAAGAGCUGAUGGAAGUCACCUCCCAGGCUACCAGUGAACUAGUCCGGACAUUGUCCGACCUCACACAUAAAGAGGUGGCUUCUUUUGAGCGUGCUUAUAAGGAGGACCUGGCGGCCAGGAAGGACGAGAUGGAGCAGAGCGCUGAGGACAUUGGAAGGCUCGUGAGCGCUUUGGAAUCAAGCGAUCAAACUCUGAAGGAGCAGCUAAGCAGCCAGACCAGCGUACUGCAGGGCAUCUUGGAGGUCAUGAAAGACAUUCGGGGUAGAACAUCAUACAGUCCUCCGUAUCCAUCACAGUAUUACGAUUUCCCAGGCCCUAGCAUGAUUCACACAAGUGGUACUUCCUCAAAUGGCCAAGAGAUGCCAUGCUCCUCCCCUUCCAGCCUUCCAUUUCCUUCCCAGCAGUCUGCCACAAGCAACGGAGAUGUCUCUCCUCGGAAGCGGAUGAAAUGAAGCCAACAGUCGGAACGGCACUGAUGAUUUAGCGUCCUGGUGGAAACCAAUUCUCCAAUUCUUUGUUCCUGUUAGGACACAUAUAUUGCUUUCCUUACUGCCUUUCUUCUUGCAUAGUUAAAACAUGUUCUCAUCCCCCUUACGUGUGUCUCCCCCACAACGUUAACGUUGGGGAAACAGCCGCCAGCAAAUGUACAUCUAGAUUUAUUAUUACUUUUUUUUAGCGUACCUAUGUUAGUUUUCCUUCCAUCUUGUUUCCAAAGGAAUGCAGUGUUUGAUGUACAAGUAUAAUUUUUUUUUUUAAAAAAAUACAUACUUAAAACACAUUACCAGGUACCUGUAAGAGGGUAAUAUUUGAAAAGUAAUAAAACUGCACUGUUGUUCCA
rnacentral:lncRNA from 1 species